GGGUGAGUAAUACAUCGGAACGUGCCCGAUCGUGGGGGAUAGCUCGGCGAAAGCCGGAUUAAUACCGCAUACGAUCUACGGAUGAAAGCAGGGGACCGCAAGGCCUUGCGCGAACGGAGCGGCCGAUGGCAGAUUAGGUAGUUGGUGGGGUAAAGGCUCACCAAGCCGACGAUCUGUAGCUGGUCUGAGAGGACGACCAGCCACACUGGGACUGAGACACGGCCCAGACUCCUACGGGAGGCAGCAGUGGGGAAUUUUGGACAAUGGGCGCAAGCCUGAUCCAGCAAUGCCGCGUGCAGGAUGAAGGCCUUCGGGUUGUAAACUGCUUUUGUACGGAACGAAAAGGCUCUGGUUAAUACCUGGGGCUCAUGACGGUACCGUAAGAAUAAGCACCGGCUAACUACGUGCCAGCAGCCGCGGUAAUACGUAGGGUGCGAGCGUUAAUCGGAAUUACUGGGCGUAAAGCGUGCGCAGGCGGUGAUGUAAGACAGUUGUGAAAUCCCCGGGCUCAACCUGGGAACUGCAUCUGUGACUGCAUCGCUGGAGUGCGGCAGAGGGGGAUGGAAUUCCGCGUGUAGCAGUGAAAUGCGUAGAUAUGCGGAGGAACACCGAUGGCGAAGGCAAUCCCCUGGGCCUGCACUGACGCUCAUGCACGAAAGCGUGGGGAGCAAACAGGAUUAGAUACCCUGGUAGUCCACGCCCUAAACGAUGUCAACUGGUUGUUGGGAAUUUGCUUUCUCAGUAACGAAGCUAACGCGUGAAGUUGACCGCC
rnacentral:rRNA from 1 species